UACGGAGGGUGCAAGCGUUAUCCGGAUUUACUGGGUUUAAAGGGUGUGUAGGCGGGCUGUUAAGUCAGUGGUGAAAUCUCCGGCUCAACCCGGAAACUGCCAUUGAUACUAAUGGUCUUGAAUUUUGUUGAGGUAGGCGGAAUAAGUCAUGUAGCGGUGAAAUGCAUAGAUAUGACUUAGAACACCAAUUGCGAAGGCAGCUUGCUAAACAAAUAUUGACGCUGAGGCACGAAAGCGUGGGGAUCAAACAGG
rnacentral:rRNA from 1 species